rnacentral:rRNA from 1 species
CUACGUGCCAGCAGCCGCGGUAAUACGUAGGGUGCGAGCGUUAAUCGGAAUUACUGGGCGUAAAGCGGGCGCAGACGGUUACUUAAGCAGGAUGUGAAAUCCCCGGGCUUAACCUGGGAACUGCAUUGGUGACUGCAAGGCUAGAGUGUGUCAGAGGGAGGUGGAAUUCCGCAUGUAGCAGUGAAAUGCGUAGAUAUGCGGAGGAACACCGAUGGCGAAGGCAGCCUCCUGGGAUAACACUGACGCUCAUGCACGAAAGCGUGGGGAGCAAACAGGAUUAGAUACCCUGGUAGUCCACGCCCUAAACGAUGUCUACUAGUUGCCGGGGAUUAAUUUCCUUGGUAACGCAGCUAACGCGUGAAGUAGACCGCCUGGGGAGUACGGUCGCAAGAUUAAAACUCAAAGGAAUUGACGGGGACCCGCACAAGCGGUGGAUGAUGUGGAUUAAUUCGAUGCAACGCGAAAAACCUUACCUACGCUUGACAU